CGGUCGGCUAGAUGGUACUCCACCCAGUCUUCCAAACUGGCUACGCGGGUUCGAUUCCCGUCGCCCGC
rnacentral:tRNA from 1 species